GGGAGCGCACUUACUAAUUUUGCUUUCCUAUUGAACAUACUACUUUCCGUAUGAAAUAUUAUAGUUUAUUUACAUUUUAGAGUACAUCAGGAUUAAAUAGAAAUGUUGUUUGACUUGUUUGGACGAAGUUUAGCGGUAGCUUUUUGGACUUCUUUGUCUGCAUGUUGAACGAGUGCAUUACUCAAAUCGAUGACGCCAACUAAACAGACUUUUUGGGAUAUAAAGAAGGAUUUUAUCUAACAAAACGACCAUUCAUGUUGUAGCAGGGACCCUUGGGAUUGCAAACAGAGGAAGAAUUUCAAAUGGAGGAAGUGGACGUGUGCGGUGUCUGGAAAAAAAAUGAAGAAUUUGUCUACAAGUCACUUCCCAUGAAAUAUGUGGACAGGAGAUAACACUGUUGGCUGGAG
rnacentral:lncRNA from 1 species